AAGGUUAGGUGGUGUAUGAGAUCUCGUAUUGCUUGGGAAGGAGAAGUUCUUGCUCUUUAUAAGGUUCCAAUGGGGCUCCAAUUGUAUCAUUGACUAGUCCUUUUGGAUAUAGGUCAUGUGGUUUGGGCCUUCCAUUGGGGCGUUACAAAUAGUAUCAGAGCCUAUCUCAAC